GGAUCACUACUGUCAAAACUCCUUGAAACAUUUCUGUUUAAUACUCAGUGGACCUGCUAAUGAGAGGAAAUAGUGAUGUUUCCAAUAGGCUAUGUUUCCAUCUCAACUACGCUAAACAAGAUGAGAAGGAGAAAGUGACUCAGCCUACUUUGAGGUAUCCCUGUUGUCCAUCACAG